GCAGCCGCCGCGGGAAUACAGAGGGUGCGAGCGUUAAUCGGAUUUACUGGGCGUAAAGCGUGCGUAGGCGGCUUUUUAAGUCGGAUGUGAAAUCCCUGAGCUUAACUUAGGAAUUGCAUUCGAUACUGGGAAGCUAGAGUAUGGGAGAGGAUGGUAGAAUUCCAGGUGUAGCGGUGAAAUGCGUAGAGAUCUGGAGGAAUACCGAUGGCGAAGGCAGCCAUCUGGCCUAAUACUGACGCUGAGGUACGAAAGCAUGGGGAGCAAACAGGAUUAGAUACCCCAGUAGUCCCUGUCUCUUAUAA
rnacentral:rRNA from 1 species